UACGGAGGGUGCAAGCGUUAUCCGGAUUCACUGGGUUUAAAGGGUGCGUAGGUGGGUCUGUAAGUCAGUGGUGAAAUCCCCCGAGCUUAACUUGGGACUGCCGUUGAUACUAUAGAUCUUGAAUAUCGUGGAGGUAAGCGGAAUAUGUCAUGUAGCGGUGAAAUGCUUAGAUAUGACAUAGAACACCAAUUGCGAAGGCAGCUUACUACACGAUCAUUGACACUGAGGCACGAAAGCGUGGGGAGCAAACAGG
rnacentral:rRNA from 1 species